rnacentral:rRNA from 1 species
AGUGAACGCUGGCGGUAGGCCUAACACAUGCAAGUCGAACGGCAGCACAGUAAGAGCUUGCUCUUACGGGCGGCGAGUGGCGGACGGGUGAGGAAUACACCGGAAUCUACUUUUUCGGGGGGGAUAACGCAGGGAAACGUACGCUAAUACCGCAUACGUCCUACGGGUGAAAGCAGGGGAUCUUCGGACCUUGCGCGAUUGAAUGAGCCGAUGUCGGAUUAGCUAGUUGGCGGGGUAAAGGCCCACCAAGGCGACGAUCCGUAGCUGGUCUGAGAGGAUGAUCAGACACACUGGAACUGAGACACGGUCCAGACUCCUACGGGAGGCAGCAGUGGGGAAUAUUGGACAAUGGGCGAAAGCCUGAUCCAGCCAUACCGCGUGGGUGAAGAAGGACUUCGGGUUGUAAAGCCCUUUUGUUGGGAAAGAAAAGCAGCAGGUUAAUACCCCGCUGUUAUGACGGUACCCAAAGAAUAAGCACCGGCUAACUUCGUG